AUUCAGCUAACAAGUCCCAAAUAGGACGAAAUGCGCGUCCUGGCUGUAU
rfam:Trichobilharzia regenti genome assembly, scaffold: TRE_scaffold0012630